rnacentral:tRNA from 1 species
GCGGGGGUAGCCCAGUGGCCUACGGCGCCGGUCUUGAAAACCGGUGGAGAUUCUCCUCGGGGGUUCAAAUCCCUCUCCCCGCGCCA